CAGGGAUGGAACCCGCCCUCCACUCCAACGCCAGCACUCCUGGAACUCCCCCGACCCUGGAGCUGUGUCUCUUAAGUGGAGCCGACACACGGCUCUCAUCGGCGCAGUCCGCAGCGCCCGUGUCCCGCAGAAUCGGAGGUGCCAGGGGCAAAUGCAGGCGGUCCAGACAGGUGGAGGCCAGCUUAGAGCUGGGAAGCGAAGAGAGAGCCACCAGACUCAGAUAUGGAGAAAGGGACACAGGAACCCACUGAGGUUCACACAGGGUUUGACUGGGCAGAGAAACACACCAACAGUCUGACACCCAGAGGGUAAGGAUGACAAGAGGGAAUCUCCAAAGUGGGCAGUUCCUUCGGGAAACCCUUCCUGGCCACAAGCCGGCACCCUGGGCUGCCCAGCCCUACCCUGACCUCUCUGGGCACCCUCUGGCCUAGCUUCUGCCACUGGACCACGGGUGUUUCCGUUGCUGUUCUGUCCAUCUCGUCCAGACCCUCAGCGCUUGUGGAAGAGAAAGCCCAGAAUGCGGUGAGCUCCAGAAAGGCCGAGCCUGGCCUGCCCUGCCUCGGCGCUGAGGACAGGGGCUGCAGGCAGCUCCGCCUGGCUGCGCUCUUGUCAGAGCCCCACUCCACCUCUGGAAUGGUCAUCAGCAUGGACUUCAGAGGCUGCAAGAUGGACCUGCACACAGGAGGGGCUCAAAAGUGACCACGUGCUUGGGACUGCCUGGCCCCAGCCCCAGGCCUCCUUGCCUGGAGACUGGCUUCUCUCCUGUAUCACGCCUCUCAGCGUUCCCGCUCUGGCUGCUGUCUGUGUGGGUGAACUUCUAGGCUCCCACCAUCCUCAGGUGGGGUGCCGAGCCUGCUCUGCACAGCAGUCCCAAGCCUCGCCAGGGAUGGAAAGGAACAUAAAUUUAUUGAAACUGCUUUGGGGUGAGUAGGUGGACAGUUGGGGGUUUUCCAAAGAGAAUUGUGGGAGAAGCCAGGGCCCAGCAGGUGGGAGCGGGUGCCCAGCCCCAGACCCUAUCUCAGGCCCAGUUUCUUCUUUUCCUUUUGCUUCUUACGGACCACGUCCAGGUUCCGGUCCUUCCACAUGCUCUUGCGAAGCUUGAUGGGGCGCGAGCCCACGUACUUCCCUGUGGAAUGCAGGGUUCAAGGUCAGGAGGGGGCGAGGCUUGGGCCAGAUGCCUGCCAUGCCUGUAACCCCUAGGGGAGGCCUCACCCACCAUUCAUCUCACGCAUGGCGCGCACGUAGUCGCUGGGGUCCUUGAAGCUGACAAAGCCGUAGCCCUUGGUCUUGCCUGUGCGCUUAUCACGGAUCACCUUAGCCUUAAGGAAGGACGGGAAGCGGCUGAAGGCGCGUGCCAGGAUGUCAUCAUUUACCUCAUUGCCCAGGUCCCCACAGAAGAUCCGGAAG